rnacentral:rRNA from 1 species
CGAAGGAUGCAAGCGUUAUCCGGAUUCACUGGGUUUAAAGGGUGUGCAGGUGGGAUAAUAAGUCAGUGGUGAAAGCCCCCGACUCAAUCGGGGAACGUGCCAUAGAUACUGUUAUUCUUGAGUGUAGUUGAGGCAGAUGGAAUAUGACAUGUAGCGGUGAAAUGCUUAGAUAUGUCAUAGAACACCGAUCGCGAAGGCAGUCUGCCAAACUAUUACUGACACUGAAACACGAAAGUAGCGGGGAGUCAAACAGGAUUAGAUACCCUGGUAGUCCGCACCGUAAACGAUGAUCACUCGUUGUUGGCGAUACACAGUCAGCGACUAAGCGAAAGCAUUAAGUGAUCCACCUGGGAAGUACGACCGCAAGGUUG